ACACUGCUCCUAAGACAGAGGUACUCAGAUACGUGGCUGAAAGCCUAGCUCAAAUACUGCCCCAGCCCUAUAAGCAGUACAACAUGCUGAACGCAGACACUACUCGCAACCUCAUGAUCUGCUUCCUCUGGAUCAUGAAAAAUGCUGAUCAGAGCCUCAUUAGGAAGUGGAUUGCUGACCUGCCAUCAAUGCAGCUCAACAGGAUUUUAGAUCUACUUUUCAUCUGUGUGUUAUGUUUUGAGUAUAAGGGAAAACAGAGUUCUGACAAAGUCAGUACCCAAGUCCUGCAGAAGUCAAGGGAUGUCAAGGCCCGGCUGGAAGAGGCUUUGCUCCGUGGGGAAGGGGCCAGAGGGGAGAUGAUGCGCCGCCGGGCUCCAGGGAACGACCGAUUUCCAGGCCUAAAUGAAAAUUUGAGAUGGAAGAAAGAGCAGACACAUUGGCGGCAAGCUAAUGAGAAGCUAGAUAAAACAAAGGCAGAGUUAGAUCAAGAAGCCUUGAUCAGUGGCAAUCUGGCUACAGAAGCACAUUUAAUCAU
rnacentral:sRNA from 1 species